AUGGUAGAGGACAUGGACUAUCCAGAGAUGGCAAAGAUGGAUUUCUUCGAGGUAAUCGUCGAAUGUAUUAAGGAAGGAGCCAAGAUAUUGCAGAAACACAGAAAUUUGCCUCAGGAAGAAAAGAACAAAAAGCAUGUCAAUGGUUUGGCACAGGGGCCAGUAAUCAUGUACCUCGACUCCCUGCUGCUGCCAACCGACACAAAAGAAAUGCAGAAGAUUGCAAAGACAAUGGACAAGACCUCAUUACCACGAGCAAACCAUCUCAAAGAGAGUGUCCUAGCGAAAAUAGCUAGAGCAGACAUGAAAAGGGACAGAAAAGCAUGA
rnacentral:rRNA from 1 species